UUCCUUAGCUCAGUCGGUUAGAGCACCUGACUCAUAAUCAGGGAGUCCUUGGUUCAAGCCCAAGUGGGACCA
rnacentral:tRNA from 1 species